GUCCAGGGUAGCCUAGUGGACAUGGCAUCUGCCCGGUAAGCGGAAGGUCGUGGGUUCGAUUCCCAUCCCUUGACA